rnacentral:lncRNA from 1 species
GUGUUAUCCAAUCUAGCCGGGUGAGAAUGUGUGAACUUUCCAUUGUUUACAUAAAUAUGAGAGUGCCGGCAAUUGUGUAUGCUCAUUUGAUUUUAGCUUAAUCUUGCUGUCAUUAAUGUGUUGGAUGUUGUGGAUAUGAUCAAGGCCAUGUUUCUUUUUGAGUGAUAACUACUUGGCCAAAUUUAACCUACCUUGUGAGAUAGUGAUCUUUUGUGUCCCCUGUUGAGCCUUAAAUUUUGAAAAUUGUUUGUUAAACCCUGAAACCGAAAGAAUGGAAAAACAACUACUCUACCCUUGUCUUAGGAUAGGAGAGCAAUUGUAUUUCAACUAGGGUUAUGAUAAGAUUUAAGUUGGGGAGAAGUAGGUUACAAAAGUUACAAAAAUAAAAUGGUUUGAAAAGUAGUUGAUUUGGUGAUUAAAAUGUGUGAGAAAAAUAAAAGUUUGACACAAAUGAAAAGAGAAAAGAAAGAAAAAAAAAAUUCAGUGAAAAAAGUGUCAUUGUAAAAAAAAAGAAAGAAAAAACAAAAAAAAAAAAUCACCAAUGAAAUAGGGGAGAAAAGAAAAAGAAAAGGGAGUAAAUGAAUGUAAAUUUUUAUAAGUUCUUUAAGUUUUGUUUUUGCUCUCUUAUCCUUGAGGCCUUUUGAAUUCCAAAGAAAAACAAUGAAUUUUUGUAGCCCAGCCCCAUUACAAGCUUGAUAAAGUCCUUAGUGAUCCACAACUGAUAGCAUGUUUGGUGAUAUUGCUUGGAUAAAUGUUUGAAUUGAAUUGUUGCAUGCACUUUGCUUGGAUUGAGUUAAACACUUAC